CACUCACUUUCCACUUUCUCCUCUUCCUUACUUCUUCUUCUCUGCACGCUGCUUGAGAAUGUUCUCCAUGGUGUUCUUCAAUGCUGACUUUUUGUUCCUUCUUCUUUGGGUAUUCAACAUCCUUCACGAAUUGGUGAUGAAGAGUGCUGAGAUCUUUAGCUCUCAAAGGUUUAUGUUCCACUACUUUUGGUUUUCUCCGUCCUUCUCUUUUAAUAGGCUGAUUCUUUCUUUCUUGUAGGUGUAAUUUUCGGUAUGAUUUCUUGUCGAGCUCAAUAGAGAGCGUGAGCCUUGCAUUCAGCUUUGAAUUUCCGUUUGCAGCCGAAUAGGAGUGACUCAAGGAACUCCCGUGCUUCUUCACCUCGAUUUCUCUGUUGGAUGCUCGUUUUGGAUUCAGAUACAACUCCUAGACUCUCACCUUUUGCUAGUCCAUGUACCACUGUUUGCUGGCUGAAAUAGCUUAGGAUUAGUUCCUUUACAGCUUUUUUGUUCCAGAAGUAGAUAGCAUCUAAAUUGUACAUAUCAUAGCUGUGGAACCCUGUAACUUCUAUGUUGUAUCUAAGCAUGAUGACCAUUGUUGUUGCUGUAAAUUCUCCUUGUUUUUAUCCUGACUGAAGGGACCUGAUGUUUAUCAAUGUUAAGAAUAUGUUUACCUUGCCUUGGUAGCUGA